rnacentral:rRNA from 1 species
UGGGGAAUAUUGCACAAUGGGCGCAAGCCUGAUGCAGCAACGCCGCGUGAGGGACGACGGCCUCCGGGUUGUAAACCUCUUUUGGCAGGGAAGAAGCGAAAGUGACGGUACCUGCAGAAAAAGCACCGGCUAACUACGUGCCAGCAGCCGCGGUGAUACGUAGGGUGCAAGCGUUGUCCGGAAUUAUUGGGCGUAAAGAGCUCGUAGGCGGUUUGUCGCGUCUGCUGUGAAAACCCGAGGCUCAACCUCGGGCCUGCAGUGGGUACGGGCAAACUAGAGUGCGGUAGGGGAGAUUGGAAUUCCUGGUGUAGCGGUGGAAUGCGCAGAUAUCAGGAGGAACACCGAUGGCGAAGGCAGAUCUCUGGGCCGUAACUGACGCUGAGGAGCGAAAGCAUGGGGAGCGAACA